rnacentral:rRNA from 1 species
UACAGAGGUGGCUAGCGUUGUUCGGAAUUACUGGGCGUAAAGGGCGCGUAGGCGGCUUGGUCAGUCCCGUGUGAAAUCCCUCGGCUCAACUGAGGAACUGCACGGGAAACUGCCUGGCUUGAGUUCGGGAGAGGGAAGCGGAAUUCCGGGUGUAGCGGUGAAAUGCGCAGAUAUCGGGAGGAACACCAAUGGCGAAGGCAGCUCGCUGGGACGGUACUGACGCUGAGACGCGAAAGCGUGGGGAGCAAACAGG